rnacentral:rRNA from 1 species
AGCAUGUGGUUAAUUCGAAGCAACGCGAAGAACCUUACCAGGGCUUGACAUCCCCUGACCGCGUAUGAAAGUACGUUUUCACCCUCGGGUGACAGGGAGACAGGUGGUGCAUGGUUGUCGUCAGCUCGUGUCGUGAGAUGUUGGGUUAAGUCCCGCAACGAGCGCAACCCCUACGUUUAGUUGCUAACAGGUGAAGCUGAGCACUCUAGACGAACUGCCGUUGACAAAACGGAGGAAGGUGGGAUGACGUCAAAUCAUCAUGCCCCUUAUGUUCUGGGCUACACACGUGCUACAAUGGCCGGUACAGACGGAGGCGAAGCCGCGAGGCGGAGCAAAUCCGAAAAAGCCGGUCUCAGUUCGGAUUGCAGGCUGCAAUUCGCCUGCAUGAAGUCGGAAUCGCUAGUAAUCGCAGGUCAGCAUACUGCGGUCGAAUACGUUCCCGGGCCUU